UACGGAGGGUGCUAGCGUUGUUCGGAAUCACUGGGCGUAAAGCGCGUGUAGGCGGCCUGUUAAGUCUGAUGUGAAAGCCCGGGGCUCACCCCCGGAAGUGCAUUGGAAACUGCCAGGCUCGAGUCCCGGAGAGGAGGGUGGAAUUCCUGGUGUAGCGGUGAAGUGCGUAGAUAUCAGGAGGAACACCGGUGGCGAAGGCGGCCCUCUGGACGGUGACUGACGCUGAGACGCGAAAGCGUGGGGAGCAAACAGG
rnacentral:rRNA from 1 species